CUUUCAACUUCCUUCUCUGCAUUGCUUUCCUUCUGGGUGAUUUGUUGCUGGAUCCUCUGAAUGCUUAUUUAUUCAUGCAUUUAUUUUUCAUUGCAGUUCUUUAUGUCUCUUGUAGGAAGGAAGACAAAGAAAAAGGAAGAAGAAGAUUUGAUGUGUCUCUUGGCUAGAAAUAUUUGUCCCCAGAUGGAAAUGAGUAAGGUUCUUCGCAUGGGUAGCUGGGGUUAGAAAACAGUCAGUGCCAGGCCAGAGAGACAAAUUAAGACUAUUUUUCUUUAGAACAUUGUCUUUUGAAAAUAAGAGAGUAGCAGUAUCAAAGAAACCUAUCAAGGACUAAGAUUUGGUGAGCAGGGACCUCCAAAACCAGAUAGAGGCUGAAGCUUUUUAUCAAUGAGGGCACCUUGUGAAUGUAAAUAAAUACCUGAAAUAGAUUUCAUGAGAAGAGGAAAGAUAUGAGAAAGAAGAAUUUUGUUUCUAGUCUUUAAAUUAAUAGUUACUAAAACCCAAAAAUGAAAUGGCAUUCAGAAGAAAUAGGAAACUGAAUCUAUUUAGAAUUUGGUCUUGAAACAGAUAUUCUCAUGUCUCUGAAUGACUAUUUGUGGUACAGUUUUCCCUCAGCUAGGUAAGGAACUUUAAUAGUGAUAAAAGUUUUUAGCUGGUAGGAGGUUUUUCAGUAUCAAAUUCUUCUCCUAUAAUUUGUUCUAAAGCUGAUUUUGUAGUGAUACAUGACAGGUUUUGUAAAUUGCCUCCCAUACUGCUUUAACAAGAGGUUCAACUUUUCUUCAGAGUCAUUCUGAACAGUGAUAAUGAUGGUCUUAAAUAGCAUAGAGGGAAAUCACCAAAACAGCCUCAGACAAGCAAGGGUGAAAAUGUAUGAUAAGAAGGAGUUCAGACUGUGUAAAACGGGAAAAAGUCUGGUCUGCAGUGAAGAGGCAAAAAGAAGAAAAUAGGGAAAGUUCUGAUAGCAACAAACCUAUUACAAAUUAUUUAGAAGAGCACAAAUACUAAACACAAAAUAUUCCAGUUUAUCUGAUGAGAAAUUUGAAUAGCUCUACAAUCAACUGCCUCUGUUCUGUGGCACUGGUUAAGCUAUGUAACACCAAAGGAAAAGAGAGAUAAACAGAAAGCACUCUUUAUCACUUGUUCAAUUCUGCAUGCUAAAGGAACAGAAAUUAUUACAUAAAACUCUACAAACAACCAAUAAAAUCAAAAGAAGUAUAUUGAUCCAGCUAAAUCUCUGUGAAUAUUUCACAUCUCUCUAUUAUUCUAUUUGGUGACUGCUAAAUUGGUAAUUACACCAUACAGUUAAUUAUACUUUAAGUUUUCCCACACAUUAGAAAACUUUGACACUUUAUAGAUAUGUUUUUAUUUCAUUAGAAAAUAUCUCUGUGAUUUCUGUAUACUGACCUAUGAAGUGACUUGUCACUUUUCCUUAUGGAAAAAAAAAAAUGAAAGGAGAAAUUAUAGAGGAUAAUAAAACUACAAGUGGCAUAAAGUAAGAUGGACAGAAAUUGUUAAUUUUCUUUUCCAGUGCAGGAAAGAACAGGUGUCAAAUUGAGACAGUAGGAAGACUUUUCAGGACAGAAAAAUGUAUGUGCAAAAGACCUUGUAAAACUAACACAGAUCCAAGAAGUUCACGUAGGUUGGUAGACUGGGAGAUGGAAAAGGUUUAUGGAAAAGAAAUUUGUGGUGAGUUGCAAAUUAAUAGGACGACAUAGACUCAGGAGAUUUUCAAUGUGAAAAUAGCUGGAGCGUGAAAUUAGCAUUACACAGAAGUGUCAUUUUAUAACCUUGUCCCGCUCUUCCUUUUUCAAGCCAUUCACUUGUGGAUAUUGAGGGAUACAGAACACAAGUCAGCCUUUGGCUUGAGCCACUACAGCUGUUUAAAGUGUGCUAGGUUCUAUAACUGCUGCCUCUCAUUCAUGUCUCCAAGUGAAACCAUAAAUGUGUCUUCAAAUUUAUUUGACUCCAUGAAUGUAAUAUAGCCUAAGUAACUAAUCUAUGAAUUCUUAAAACCCUUUUAAUAACCUGCAAGCUUUACUUAUAUUCCUACUGGAUAUUUAUUUAUUUAUUUAUUUAUUGCAUUUUGUGUGUAUUAUCCACAACCUCUAUUGUGACCAUAUUUCCUCCCCCUGUUUCUCUGACAAAGUUUUCCCUUCCUAUUAUUUCUACCACUCUCAGUUUCUAAGAGCAUUGAGUUUUACAAUUGAGCUGAAAUAACACUCUGUUCUGGGUUUUUUUCUUCUACAUUUAAGCUGAAAAUUGGCAGCACUUUUCCUGUCAAGUAUCAGGUUUAAUUUGUGAACAGUUAUUAUUGGAUUUAAAUUCUCUUUUUAAUCCUGUCCCCUCCAUUAUGUAGAAUAAAUUUUAGAUAUGUAACUAAAAGGAGACUCUUGUCCAUAUCUACAAAUAUUAGACAAAUAUUUUAACGAUUUGAUGUCCCCUGAAAAAUUCUGCCAGUAAAAUUUUAAAAACAAAAUUCUCACUUUUAAAACAAAAGUUUUAUCUACAUAGUUUUAUCUCCCAACAGGAAGCAGUCUGCUAUACCUGGCUUGUUCAGACAAUAUAUCCUUGGUUAAGCAUUUAUCUCUUGCUGGGCAUACACAUCAAGCUGUCUUGCCAGUUCUUUUUCUUAUGCAGCCCUAAUGUACUUUAUAAAUUCUACAUCAGAAUCACUUUAUCCAAUACUGAAUUUUAUUCACAUAUCAGCUGAAGCAUAACUGUCUAGAAACAUUCUGCAACACCUUCACAGCAAAAGAGAUCAACAAAUUAAGGUGAAAAUGCAAGGAUAAGUUUUCAAAUAUACACAAAUUAAGUAGCUAAAUUAGUGUAAUGAUCAGUAUACUAUCUUUACACUUAAGGAGAGUACCAAGAAAAAAAUAUUAAUCUAUAAUAGGCAGAAGUCUUAAUAUUAUUUGACAUUUUAUUUUUAUUGCUUAACAUUCAGAAAACAAUCCACUUUUUAAAAGCAAACAUCUACCACUCAUUUAUAGGAUGUCAUGCUUAUUGCUUUCUUCCAUGUUAGAGAAUUACGAUGGUAUUAAGAUGCUGCCUUAUGUUAACUCCGAAAAUACUUACUCAUUUUGGUAACAGUGCUACUGCACCAGUUUCAAAACAAACACUGCUUUCAACAUUAAGCAUUGAAGUGGCAGGCAAGACUUGUUUCCAUUUGUGUCUCCCAAAUUCUAAGAUCAAAAUGAGGGGAUAUUUCUUUAAUAUUAAAUUAGUAAAUAACCUAUAGCCUUGCUUUAUACAGUGCUUGCUUUAUUCAGUAUUAAAAAACAUCCUCUUCACUGGCAGCAACCAACCGUAUAUAUCAUGGAAACUCAGAGUUGCCUGCUUCCUUGCUUACUUCUAAAUGCUGAAAAAUCCAAAUCAAGUUGUUAUACCAGCAUACAGUUGAUAAAAAUCAAUGAAGUUCACCACAUGGAAAACCAGCUAUAACAAUUUGUUCUUCCAUCUUAAAAAAAUAGACAAGCUUUUACAUAAAAUAAACCUAAAACAUUGGCGUAUUUAUUUAAAUUAUUCAGUAUGUUUAACUCUAUAGACAUAAAAAAGAGAAAAAAAACGUGUUUCAAAAACCAUAAUCUAGAAAUAUAACAAUCACAAUUUAUUUCUACUUCCUAGUUUGUGCAAUACUAUGGCUUAAUAGCAUGUAUCCAUUGACUGCUCUAAAUGUAUUUUUUCUGUAUUUUUACUGUAUCUGUGUACAUAUAUAGCAAAACUAGAAAUGGUUCAAUGAAAAGAAUGUAUACUAUACAGUGAAGUCUUCUCUAAGUAAUUUUUUACCUGCAGAACUUGGAUAGUUCAAAGCCCAUUUUCCACAGGGUUCUUUUGUAUAUCACUGAUUUAUUGAAUGUGACCAGAGACUCUUUCAUUAGAGACUUUUAGAAAGAGUGACAAACAGUGCUCAGAAAUUUAGUUGUACAAUUUGUCCUGUAUGGGAACAGUGAAAUUAAAUUGGUGACUCUCAAGGUCCCUACAUAUUAAGUGCUAGGUGUUUACAAAAUUUAGCAACAAACUCAAAACUGAAAGAUUUUUGAGCAUGAACAAUCGCCUUGUCAUAUCAACAAUAGCUUUUUCAAUAACUUCCAAACAAUACAGGAUUAAGAAACACAACAUUGAUCAUUCUAAUCCAUGUUUUUACAGUCUGUAAUAUCUUUCAUUAUUAGACCAUAAACUGACAAAAGUAUGAUUUUAAUAGAUACUGAAAAUACACUUGAAAGUAUUUGGACACACACAUACAUUAAAAGUAUCAGACAGUAGUGUGUAAUCUAAAUUGUGAAAUAUGUUUUGAACACUAUGUUUAUAGCCCAGAGAGUUGAUCGAUGAUUUGGAGAAGGGCAGACAUCUGGAUCAUUAUAGUAUCUGUAUGAACAAAAAAAUAGAAAGAUGAUUUCACAGCCAUUUUUGACUUCUCUGAAUAAUUUCAAUCUGACUAUGCAAAAACUCUUCCCCAAGCAGACAACAGCAUUGUACCCAUAUCAAUUAUUGUAGGCAGUCAAUGUAUGGCUGCUGAAUAAGUGAUUCAGUCCUUACAGAAUUGGUAUUUAGAUCUGGCAUCUGUUUUUCUUGGCUUCUUUCACUGCUGAUUCUGUCAGUUUCUUAAUCUGAGUCCCUUGCUUUCUCUUACAUGCAUAGAGAUUUUUUCAUUGCCUCUAAAUUUUCUGCAGCAAGCAACAAGUUGACCUGUCUUCUUUCCUGUGAUCCUGUUUUGUUCAGACACAGUGUGCAACACAUUCUAUAAUCCUAUCAAGGAUAUUUCAACCUUAGCAUAUUGUUUGAUUUUGGUUCCCCUCUCUAUUGCUCCGUACACAAAGGACUGUGAGACAAAAUGAAGAAUCCACUGUAAAAGGUAAAAUACUUCAGGUAACAAUAGGAAUUUUUCCUCCCAAGUACCUAUUCCUUAAACAGAACAGAAAAAAAGUCCUAGGCCACCACAAAAGACAUUCAAAACCUGAAAGGCAGCAAAGGAAUCAAAAGUCUUGCUGAUAACAGAUUUCUAACAGUGUUUUCACAGCCAUGUCAUCACUUCCUUCUCUUUAAUUUAGAUGCAGUAAAGCCCAUUUCAUCUCUUUCUAUCCUGAGAAUCUUAAUAGCUAUCAAACUUAGACCCACGAGCUGCCUAAAUAUUUACAGGCAAUGUCAAAUCUAGCCAUGGUACAGAACAACAUGGUACAAAACAGUGUAUAGUGUGAUAUAGUCUAAUACUAUAUUACACAGUGUACAUAUUAUAUAGGGUAACUCAAUAUACUGCAAUACUGCUUAAAGCUGCUCAGGACCUUCUGUUAACCCACCCAUAUUCAGGCACGGUAGUUUAAAAUGCAAACACUUUGGUAGUGGCCAAGGUCAGAGACAAAAUGCAGUACUAAAAAUCCCUCAGCUAUCACCCUGAAGGGCAUUUCUAAUGUUAAUCCAGAAAUCUAAUUAGGCAGCCUGACUAAAAAAAAUCCCACUUGAAAAACCAGUUAAGGUCAUUAAAUUGAAUAGAUUCCAGCUAUCAUGUGGAACAACACUAAUCAUAUGGAAUGGUAUUCGCUGUUCACUUUAGCAUUACCAAGCAAAAUAUUUGCAUGCAAUGUAAACAGAAAAAGAAAAUAGUGCAAUAUUCAGUCCUUGGAAAUGGAAAACAGAAGAACAAUCUGUAAUGAUGGCCAAUAUGACCAGCAUUUCCUGUACAGAUGUACAUGCAGGUGGCUCACAGACAUGAGUAGAUGAGCUUAGAGCACAUUUUUGGGAGGGGUUUCAAAGAUGGUUGAAAGACUGCUUUCCAUGAUAAUGAGAGGAUGGAAAAGAAUUUCUAGAGGCAUCUGUUUUGCAAGGAUCUUAUGUAAUAUUCAUUCAAUGCUAUGGAUCUCUUGCUGUCACAACCAGUGACAACAAAAAGGGACUUGGAGAAAAACAGAAUCUUAAAAUAUUAAGGGAAGUAAUUAUACAGAAAUAUUUUAUUACUACUUAUUUGGCAUUGUUUCAAGCAAGGUCACAAAGCUGUUGAAAAUAUGCUUAAUUUUCUGUGAACCUUCCAAAAAUGUCAGGGCAAAAAUACAGAAAACAAUGACCUUUCUGAUUCUUACAGAGACUUCAGAAAAUUGCUUCCUCAUUUCAGUGUAUGCUUGCCUCCUGGACUUUUAUUUAAAAAAAGGCAAAAAAUUUAAAAGAAGCAAAAAAAAAGCAACAAAUUUAUAAUCACCAGAGGUACAUAGAGUAUAUUUCAUCUUCUCUGUAAUAUUCAUAAAGUUCCACCUAAUCAAUCACUUACUCAUUAGUCCUUUUCAAAAUUCCUUCCGAUUUAUUCCAUAUUAUGGAAUACUGAAGUACAAAGGCUGUUGAAAUACAAAAGCCAAUUGUAAUUUCUUUUACUGGCUGCUCAGUUAAACACCACUACUUUUCCACAUGAAAAUAAAGGGAUUAUUUUUUCAUGCUUUCUAAUUCUGUGGGGUUUUUUUCUCAUGUUUAAAAACUUGAUGACAUUUGAAGAGCUAUAUCAUUCACUUUAAGAUCUGAAAGUAAAGUAGCAAGUCUGACUUUGGGAAUUCCAUCCAAAUUCAAUAAUUGAACUCUUGAAGUCUGUGUGAGCUCUGCUACUCAACACACAAAUAAGGAGAGCUUCUACAGAUGUCUGCUUCACACAAUCUCACGUAGUAAAGGUCUGGUUUUCCCGUCCUCCUUCCCCAGGCAAAAUUAACUUACAUUAUUUGCCCAGGAACAUUUCUCUGUGUGUGACUGGCCCCCCUUGCUCCUUGCCCUGGUAGCAUCCUGCCAAGGAGUCCCAGAAAAACCCAUCUGUCCACAUAGUGCAUCUGUCUGCUGCAUCUCAUCUUUGAAUACUGUUUGCCAUAAAUUCCAACACAUAAUGGAACAAUUUAUAAUAAUUAGGGCUUUUAGAGUAAAAGUGGAGCAGCUUCAGAGAGGUUGGUAAGAAAGGAGCAUCAAAUAGGCACAUGGGUCAUUUGGCUCAACAGCCUUAAAAAUUUUCUUCCUUCUGCCAAGACAGCAGUUAAAUAAAAUAAAAUUAAUUCCUGAAAGCAUAUGUCAGCAAAAUUUUCCAGGGCUUUUACAUUCUCUUUAAUAAAAACAUUUCUUAGAGGCAUGCCAUUAUUUCCCACCCUCUAAAUGAGUUAUUUACUGAUUUUUACUGACUAUGAGCAAUCCUAGUAACAUUUGAAAUACUAGUAGAAUACUUAUUUUAUUAGCCAACACUACCUUUCUACUGUAUAUCACCUUACAGGAAAUGAAACAGGUAAAAACAAUAUACAGAGAAUUCUUUUUGAGAAGUCAUAUUAUAUUCAGAUGACUGUACUCAGGAGAAAUAGCUUUGAAUUUAGGGGAGAAUCCCUGUUCUCUUCAAAUCUUUCUUUUCUGUCUUGGGUAUACUCCCAACACUCUUGUGAUUCUAUACUGAAUAAUAUUGAUAAAUUCUAUACGGAAAUCACAUUAGCCUUUCAUAGGCAUUAUACUGAUAAGAAAGAGAGAAGGAUAGAAGGAUCGUCACUUGCUGUUUCCAUGUUAUGAUUUUUUUAGGGUGAACUCUCUAAUUCCACCACCAGUGCUAGUCAUUAAAUAACAAGAUUAAUUAAUGAGAAGAACAGUCUAUUUUACCUUGGCAUACAUUCAUAGACCAGUAUGGUUCUCCUGAUGUUUAAGAAAGUUUCAUAUUAAAAAUAUAAUUUCAUUUAAAGAACUCAGGGUUCUACCAAUAUGCAAAGCUUGCUCACCUAAGUCUCCAUUUGUAAUUAAAGGGACUUCAACAGUCCCUUGUUCAAAGAAAAGAGAUUUUUUUAUAAUAGAUUUGUAGCUUUUAUAUGUGACAGCAAUGGGUGGAAUUAUUUUUAACUAUAAAAAUAUCCUAAAUCUUAUCCUCUAAUAUGUCUGUAGUACUUUUAGGGUUUUUCUUUUCCUGUGGUUUACACAAAAGCAGGUUGUUAAAUUGAUAUUUUGUUCUGUGGGCUCCAAGCCUAGUUCUCAGCUAUAAGCAGGGGCAACUCUGAAUCCAUUUGAACGAUAUCAAAUUACAAACUGAGGGAUGUAAUUAGAGUCAUCCUCUCGUAAUCAUUUAGACUUUAGACACUGCCUCCUGAAAAGCCCAGGUUGAUUUCAAGCUCUGAUUUGCUUCUAUCAUCUCUGGUUUUUUAUUCUUUUUUUUUGUUUUGUUUUGUUUUUUUUUUCACCUAGCUGCUCAGUUAACAAUAUCACUGUGAGCAAAGCCUCUUCUAAUUUGAUUUUAUAGUCUGGAUUUUGCAGACACUCAAGGUUUUAAUUACAUUGACUGCAUAUGCUGGCACUAGCUGAGCCAGUUUUUAAGCCUGUCUAUGACUGUACAUUAUGAAGCUGUUACCAUGGGCAAGGUCUGCUGAGUUGCAGUCAUUUACAAACUUCCACAUAACCUACCAGAUUCUUUUUUUAUAAGAAUGAAAUAUAUGUCUCUUCUGUCACAGUACAAAUACAGCUAUUUGAUUUUAUGUUACUGAAGUUAUAUUAUUCAUCAUAGGCUAUGCAUUCCAAAUCUUGGAAAUAUAUAUCUUGCAUAUUCUGCCGCCAGCUCUAUAAUAUAUUUUCUUUAAUCAUUCCUUUCUAUAUCUGAAUUUUAUCGCUCAUUUACAUAGUGCCCAAAGUUUUGGUGUUGUUUUACUCCCUUGAAUUUACGUAUUUUAACUUGAUUAAUUGAAUUGACACAUUUCUGCUAAAUCUGUACAAUUGCAACCAAACACAUCAGGAACAAUAUUCAUUUUUUCCCUGGUGUUCUUGAACUUCAACAAGUCCUACUGCCACAAUUAUCUAGUAUGCUUCUCUUGCUGCCUUUUAAUAAUGUGCUAGCAUUCCAGCAGUUUCACUCAACAAACAGACUCAUAGGAAAAAAAGUCCAUCUCAUUUUCACAAAAGCUUUCUGCCUUUCUUCUGAAACUGUGAAGACCUCUUCUGUGCUGCUUUAUGAAAAAAAGGAAGCACCAGGAACCACAGGUAAAAUAAAAUAAUUAUUUAUUUUAAGCAACUGCCUAUGGAUACUAUAGUAGAAAGAUAUCACAACUUCUUCUUUUAUUGCCUUGUAAUUUCUAUGGAAAUUGAAUGUGAAGGGGUUAUGAAAGUGAGUGUGAUAUUUCCUGAACAGAAGCAUAAAUGGAAAAAGUAAGAGAUUUUCUUAGCUUUUAGCUGAACUCUAAAUUUAUUAAUUUGACUCUUAAUAAAGACUUAAUGAUAGAUACAUUUAACUUAAAAGAGUUUCUGUUCUAUUGCAAUAGAGAAAGCAAAAUAUUCAAUUGACUUCUAUACUUUGAUAUAGAAAUCACUCUCCACAUAAAUGCUGGCCCAGAUUAUAUUUCAAAAAAAGAGGCACCUUCCAUAAGCUAUGGCACCUGCCAGUGUCAUUUUGGAGGAGGGCUUGGGAGACAGACCCAGGCUAUUGGACCUACAGAAACCUGGAUGUAAGCUUAGCUAAAGAAAUUCAAUCUAGUUGUAAUAAUUGACUAUCUCAUAUGAGUCUAUGUGAAAGAUUUUCACUUCUGGAUAGUGGAUGGUGAAAAAAGGAUUAAAUUUCUUGAAAGAGAUAAUUUAGUUAUUUGAUAUUGGCAUGGAAUUUGCAUAUUAAAUUAUCCAAAUUUGCAAAUGGAAAAAGACAUCAGUUUGCAACAAAUCUUUAAAAAUUCAGCACUAUUUUAUAAUUUUACUAUAUCUAUUCUACUCAUUCUAGCUGAACAAUGAAAAAUAUGAAAGACAGAAAAUUAAAUUGAAUUUUUCUUGGUCAGCUGACAUAUGGUGAAUUUUCUGUUGACAUCACAUGUAAAUCCAUCGCAGUCACUCUUGAAUAGUGGUUAUAGGAGACCCAAGGCUGAGCAGAUAACCUUUAAAAAAAAAAAAAAAAAGAAAACAUGAGUGGAUAUAAAACAAUUUAUCCCACUAUUUGAGCAGUAUGCCAGUACUUAGCAUGUACAAUACAGUCACAGUGAAUAUCCAGUGUAUAACCAGUUUUAUUCAAAACAUAGGCUAUAGAACAAUUCACUAGAUUGCUUUUUCCCUUCCUCUAGUUCUUCAUGAUCUUAAAUUACAUUUAAACACUUCAGACAAAGAAAAAGUUUAGACACAGAGGCACAAAGUGUUUUCAUAACUUUUUUUUCAAAAAGCUUUGCAUGUAAUUUAUAUAUUUGCCUAAAAUUGCUCUUCUGCUAAUCAGUUGCAUCCAUAGACAACAUUUCCUCUUUCUUUGUUGUAAAUGAUUUGACUAUGAAUUAUAGCUCUGACACAUUCUAUUCAAUGUGACAACAUUCUUAAUUCUAGAGACAAGAAGCUCUGGCAGUUUUCUGAUGAUCUAUUCAUAUGAGGUUCUUUUACAUAUUUCUACAUUUUUACUGUGAAGAAAAUUAACUCUUUGAAUUGGAGAAUGAACUCUCAAAGAAUCUACCCUUCAAGAGUUAGGUUCCCCAAACUCUGAUUCUUAUCCUGGUAAUUCUCUUCUCUUGGAAGAAUUUCUACUCUUUUAUAGAAGAUACCCCCAGUCUGAAUGGAUAUACUGGUGUGCAGGAAGCACCAUCAUACCCAGAGUCCACUAAAGGCAUUCAUGGUUGUUGUCAGCAUUCUAUCAUGGAUAAUUUCUGCAAAAAGCAAGGAUUUGUCUUUGGAUCCUUAGCAAGGAUUUCUCUUUAAUGACUGUAAAUUGAAGUUAAUCAGAAGAAAAGACUAGGUGAACCUUGAGAUGGACAAAGCUAAGGUAUUCAGAAGAUGCAAAGAAAAGAUGGAAAGAGAACACAGAGAAGUCAGCACACAAAUGAAGCGCGAGGUUGGGAAUAAACUGAAAAAAGAUGGUUAAAACUUAAGUAAACUCUUCCUGAUUGUGGUCUCAAGUAUUUUUUCUGUCUUAAACCUCCAAACAUAAUUUAUUAAGUAUUCUCAUUACAGCUACAUGCUAGUCUUAGUACAUGAUUUAAUAAUAUUCUUUAAAAAAUUAGUUGCUUAACUUUCAUAAGACAUUUCCCCCCCUAUUUGAGUUGUGGAAAAUGAUCAUAUUCCUUAAAUGACUUCAUAUAUUUAGGAAACUUUCUACACACAGGUGCGUUAACAUUGAAUUAAUCUAUUUGUCUUCAUAUUAUUUGUCAUACACAAAACAGAGUAUAACUUUUAAAUUAAAAAUAUAAAAUGUGUGUCUCAAAAGUGUUUUACACAAAUUUAAGCACCCCUGUCAUAAAGGGAAUCGUCAUUUCCUUCAGCUACUACAUCAUAAGGUUUAUACUAAGAAAUAAAAUAUUUUCCUGAUUUCAGUAUCCAUUCUGCAUUAUCUGUCUCUAAAACAUCAAGAUAGAUCCUGACACUUGUGCCAUCAUAUGUAAAGAAAGGAUUUUUAUAUUAUUUCUCAAAUUCUGUAAUUUAAAAUACUGUCCAAAUCCUCUGUUGUGUUGUUUUAAUUUACUGUGUUUAACAGAAAAAUGUAAACUCAUAAAUAAAAACAUUUUGGUUUUCUACUAUAUAGUCAAUCUAUUUAGUCAGAAAAUACUAGGCAGAUCUAUAGUCACAAUACUCCCCAAAACAAAACAACAACUAAAUACAAAAAAUAAAACCAACCAAACAAAUGAAACACCCAAAACCCCAAAAAUCUCUAUAAGCAGGAUAUAUAUGUGCAUAAAAAAGAGGAAGCAAUAGCUAGUAUUUUAUAUGUAGCACAUGACAAACACUUUCACUCUCUACAUAAUUCAAUAAAUCCUGCAGACUAUUGUGAUUUUUUUGAAACAGUGAUUAGAUUACUCUAUUGCAAAUAGCACAAACAAUUUAAAAAUAUUUUUGAACAUUUGCGUGCAGUUCCGAAAUUUAUGUUUGCAUUGUAACUUAUUAAUUAUUUGUUUAUGCAUUCAAAAAUAAAAUAAAACAUGGAAUCUUUUAAAUUGUUAAUGAUGACAAGAAAAUGUUAAAGAAAGUAAAUUCUGGAUCUCCUCCAUCAAUGAAAACAGUAAAACACUACCCUUAAAUAAUGAUGCUUUUCAGAAAAAUGCAUAUUCAUAUUAGCAAAUAAAUUCUUAAUUUUAUAUCAGAUAUACCUAUUUUAACCUAAUUUCCUAGUGGAAACUACUGUGGUAAAUGACAGAAUUUACAAAGCUGUGAAAUGGACAGAAGAAGCAUGGUUGAGCAUGUUAAAGAAUAAAGACUUUUGUAACCAUUCUUUGUACAACUUAUAUGAUAUCAUAUGGCUUGCUACUUUAAUAAAAUAAAGGUUUGCUAGCCUAAUUUUAAAUACAGAUUUGAAAAUCAUAAUGCAAAGUAUAAAAUACAAAUUAAUAUAUUUAUUUAGAGGUGCUUUUUAGAAGCUUGCACAACAUUACAAUUGUUCAGCACAUGCCAUUUUGACAUAAAGGCAGGAUAGACUCCUCAAAUACAUAAAACACAAAGGCACUUGCUCAAGGUAGGAUACAUAUUUCUACAGGAAGUUGAAGAGUCCAAAUAAAAAACUGUGCCUCUUCACCUAUAUUUAUUUUAGCUCUACUCCAAAAUACCUUAACAAGUGAAACAAUCCAACAGAUGAUGAACAGCUGUGAGCUUCACAAACUGUCUCUGGACUUACUACACUGGACAUAAAAUAUUGAAUACACUACUUCUAAACAAAAAUUUAGAGGAGUGCAAUUUUAAUUUAACAACAGGCUUUCCCGUAAGCACAAUAAAACACACUCUAGCCACAGAAUAACCUUCAAUAAAAUCAAUAAGCAUUAAGAAUUUAAAUAGUUUCCGGGACUGGGGACUACAGGGUACCAAGUCUCAAUUUGGCAAGGACAGAGUGCUUUGCUGAAUAAGGAGUUCAAGAUAUACAUACAGUUUAGCUGUAAAAUAUUUUACCAAGUAUGGCCCAUAAUGAUGAAUUAAAUGAAAAUCAAGAAUGUUUCUAGUCUUUCAAAAGUACUUUUAGCUUAAAAUUAAUUAAACUUCUUUUACAACACUUUUAAUGGUGCAGACUUUUACAUUUUCUUUCUUCCAUUGCAAUCUGUUCAACCAUUCAAUAGACUAUGAUUUUAAUAUUUGGUUCAUGUCUUGUAAAUUGAUCUAUGAAAAAUCAAAAGUGUUAAAGAGAUCAGUUGUAGUCUAAACAAAAAUCAAAUAUUAGCUCCUGGAGAGCAUUAGCUGGGGUUUUCUACAAUAUAAAUUAUAACGUGCAGUACUGAAUUUCUUGUAAGAAAUAUAUUGAUAACAUACUUGCACUUAUAAAAUUUCCCUGAACAGUUUUCACAAAAUCUAGUGCCUAGUCCACAAAGUCCUUCAUCCUUAUUUAAAAUUAAUAUGGAUUUUAACACACAUUCACAGAUAGUUACAUAGGAAAUAUUAGCAUGCUUAGGACAUAACUGAAAAAAGUUAUUCUCUGAAGCAUUUGCAAUUUUAGGUGGAUACCACUUGAGAAGUACACAUGCAAAAAGGUGAAAUGACUAGCUUCUGUCACCACAGAUAUGUCAGUGUCUCCAUUAUCCAGAUCAAAUUUAGCUAUAGUUUGCAUAGCGAGGAAGGGUGAUUCACCUUGGGUCAAAGAUUCAGUGCUCAGUAAAAGGCUAAAAUUUUUGGUGACCUUAUCUAUUGCUGGCACUUGUCACUGUGGGGAUCAAUUUAACUUUACAGCAUCCAAAGCAUCUUUCAUUCCUUUUUGCUGCCACAGUACAAUUCCACACAAUUCUUUCACUGAGUCCUCUUAGUUUCCCAGUGGGCACUUAAGACUCCCGGGGUAAUUGUGUAAUGGAAUAUAGUCUGACUCUCUGCAACCUACUGCCUUUCUGGCACUCCUCAACAAAAACAAAUAAAAAAAAAAAUCACCAGCAUUCAAAAACCUCCUUUACUCUUCUACUCUGUAAAGCAUGACUAUAGGAGAAUUAAUAGUUUAAUAGUUUUC